GUUAAAUUCGUUGCCCAGCCGUCGCGGUUAGACGAAGAAUUCUAGUAGAGUAGGAGUUUUUUAGUUAACAUUUGAUCUUCUAGGGAUGGUGAGUUUUAAUUAUUAAGGUGAAAUUUUUAAUUACUUGUAAAUUCUCUAAUAAUCUCUUGGAACUAAGAAAUUUAGAUUAAAAACCAGGAUUAGAUACCCUGUUAUUCUAAAUAAUCACAUGAGUAGGGUAGUAAAAGUUGUUCUUCAAACCCAAAGAUUUUGGCGGCAUUCCAUCCCAAUAGAGGAGCUUGUCCUGUAAUUGAUAGACCUCAUUUUAUCUUACCCUCUUUUGUUUAGCUUGUAUACCGCCGUUGUCAGACUACUUUAAAAGAAUGUUUUCUAUAAAAAUAUUUUUUUCACUUCAGGUCAAGGUGCAGCUUAUGGGAGGGUAGCGAUGAGCUACAAUUUUAAAUAAAAAUACGGACUCUAGGCUUAAAAACUGGAGGAAGGUGGAUUUAUUAGUAAAUUUAUUUAAGUAUAAUAAAUUGAAUAAGGCAAUGGAAUGUGCACAUAUCGCCCGUCACUCUCUUCUUAAGAGGAGAUAAGUCGUAACAAAGUAGAUGUACUGAAAAAGUGCAUACCCUCCGCCAGACGAACUGCGCCCCCCACUCACGCUGGCGGGUGACGGCUGUUUACGAGCUAGUUCCUAGCCU
rnacentral:rRNA from 1 species